rnacentral:lncRNA from 1 species
GUGCUCCUUGCCGGGGUGGGGGUCGUUACCGAGUGGGAACUUCUGCAAAUCCUGACUUUUGUCACUUCGCGCCCCGCACAAGAUGUCCUGCCGGCGGUGCGAUUGGUCCCGUUGCUUCGAGGGGAAACUGAGGCCACUUAGUCCGGGCACUUACCCGCAGCUAGUUAAGGACUAGGCUCUGAUGGAGACGCUUGUUACGACCUCAAUGGCCUGUAGAAUCUGGGAGGCCGCCUCCGACCUAAGCCCAAAAAGCACAUGAUCGGGCUCACAGGGGGCGGCCAGAGGUGAAAACAGCCAACGCUUUACAACGACGCUGUGCGGGGCACUUCGUGUGUGUCAUCCCGUCUCAUCCUCGGGUGAUAGGAACUGUUCAUUCGGGAAAAUUGCAAACAACUAAAUACCCCUCACCAGGAGCUGGCCCAUUAUAGCAACUCUGAGACCUCUCUACCGCAGGCUCUUAAAAUGGGUUUUCAUCCCAACAGAAUUUUUCUGAGGAACUUGAUAUACAAAUUCUAUAAUUUAUAUUGGAAGAAUGAAGAUACAAGAAUAGUUUUUCUUUCUGCACAAAAAGGAUAAAGAAGGAGCACUCACCAGAUACCAAGGCGUGCUACAAAGCCAUGUGAUUCUGUCCAAGCUUAACAGUGGAUGUAACUGCUUCUUUGCUGUGGCAGAUUGUAUUUUCUGAAGGCCCCAACAGUCUCUCCUGUCCCUCCUCCUCUUCUGAAACCUUGAUACUUCCCUAUGAAGAG